CCUACGGGAGGCAGCAGUGGGGAAUAUUGCACAAUGGGCGAAAGCCUGAUGCAGCGACGCCGCGUGAGGGAUGACGGCCUUCGGGUUGUAAACCUCUUUCAGCAGGGAAGAAGCGAAAGUGACGGUACCUGCAGAAGAAGCGCCGGCUAACUACGUGCCAGCAGCCGCGGUAAUACGUAGGGCGCAAGCGUUGUCCGGAAUUAUUGGGCGUAAAGAGCUCGUAGGCGGCUUGUCACGUCGGUUGUGAAAGCCCGGGGCUUAACCCCGGGUCUGCAGUCGAUACGGGCAGGCUAGAGUGUGGUAGGGGAGAUCGGAAUUCCUGGUGUAGCGGUGAAAUGCGCAGAUAUCAGGAGGAACACCGGUGGCGAAGGCGGAUCUCUGGGCCAUUACUGACGCUGAGGAGCGAAAGCGUGGGGAGCGAACAGGAUUAGAUACCCUGGUAGUCCACGCCGUAAACGGUGGGAACUAGGUGUUGGCGACAUUCCACGUCGUCGGUGCCGCNGCUACGCAUACGUUACCCGUCCCGUCGGGUAGGUACGGCCGCGAGACGUAAACGUUAAAUAGAAGUUAAGUACGGCGUUGAGACGUUGCCGAACGGCGACGACGAGGGAGGAGG
rnacentral:rRNA from 1 species